UACGGAAGGCAGCAGUGGGGAAUAUUGCACAAUGGGCGCAAGCCUGAUGCAGCCAUGCCGCGUGUAUGAAGAAGGCCUUCGGGUUGUAAAGUACUUUCAGCGGGGAGGAAGGCGAUGUGGUUAAUAACCGCGUCGAUUGACGUUACCCGCAGAAGAAGCACCGGCUAACUCCGUGCCAGCAGCCGCGGUAAUACGGAGGGUGCAAGCGUUAAUCGGAAUUACUGGGCGUAAAGCGCACGCAGGCGGUCUGUUAAGUCAGAUGUGAAAUCCCCGGGCUUAACCUGGGAACUGCAUUUUGAAACUGGCAGGCUUGAGUCUCGUAGAGGGGGUAGAAUUCCAGGUGUAGCGGUGAAAUGCGUAGAGAUCUGGAGGAAUACCGGUGGCGAAGGCGGCCCCUGGGACGAAGACUGACGCUCAGGUGCGAAAGCGUGGGGAGCAAACAGGGAUUAGAUACC
rnacentral:rRNA from 1 species